rnacentral:rRNA from 1 species
CCGCGGUAAUACUAGGGGUGCUAGCGUUGUCCGGAAUCACUGGGCGUAAAGGGUCCGUAGGCGUUUUGCUAAGUUGAUUGUUAAAUCCAUCGGCUCAACCGAUGAUCUGCAAUCAAAACUGGCAGAAUAGAGUUCGAGAGAGGAAAGUGGAAUUCCUGGUGUAGCGGUGACAUGCGUAGAUAUCAGGAGGAACACCAAUGGCGAAGGCAGCUUUCUGGCUCGAUACUGACGCUGAGGGACGAAAGCGUGGGGAGCGAACAGG